rnacentral:rRNA from 1 species
UGGCGGACGGGUGAGUAAUGUCUGGGAAACUGCCCGAUGGAGGGGGAUAACUACUGGAAACGGUAGCUAAUACCGCAUAAUGUCUACGGACCAAAGCGGGGGACCUCCGGGCCUCGCGCCAUCAGAUGAACCCAUAUGGGAUUAGCUUGUAGGUAAGGUAACGGCUUACCUAGGCGACGAUCCCUAGCUGGUCUGAGAGGAUGAUCAGCCACACUGGGACUGAGACACGGCCCAG